rnacentral:lncRNA from 1 species
AUGGAUGGAAGGGGUUUCUCCAGACUCCAUGGAGCAGGGAAAGGACAGCUGGGAGCUCAGCAUGAAUUCAUGGGAUCAUGGAAUAUUGGGGUUGGAAAAGCACUCCAAGGUCGUGGAGUCCAACCAUUCCCAGCACUGAUCCGUGUCCCCAAGGGCUGCAUCCACAGGGAUGUUCAAUCCCUCUGGGAAUGGGGACGGGGCUGGAAAACCCUUUAUGUGAGGGAGUUUUCCCAAUAUCCAAACUUCUCCUUUCAUUAUCCAAAUCCAUGGGUGAAAGGACUGGAAGAGAUUCCAGAGGCUCCAAAGCCCCUCAGCCAUUGGAUCCUGCACAAAUCCCAGAAUCCCAGAACAGUUUGGGUGGGAAGAUCUCCCAGGGGAUCCAUUCCCAAUCCCUGCCAUCGCCCAGGAUCCCUUUCCCUAUCUCCGGUUGCUCCAAGCUCAUCCAACCCAGCCUGGAGCUGGAGCACUUGGAAUUUCCCUCACAAAUUUUGGAUUUCCUUCCCAAACUUCGGAACCACCAUUUUCCAAGGUUCUCCUCCACGGAACAAACCCCAAAUUCUGGGAUCACACAACUCCCUGCAAAUCCCCAAUCCCACAGGCUGGGAUCUUUCCGUGCGGAAUUUCCAAAGCUUUAACGGAGCCUCCUGGGAAGAUUCCCACCGGGAUGGGAACCUUUUCCAUUCCCAAGGAAGCUCCGUGUCCGGAUGCCACCCCGGUGUCCUUCCCUGCUCCGUUCUGGCUCCGUGCCGGAGCGUGCGGAAUAACUGGGUCAGCUCGGCACAGCCGCUGAAUAUUUCAUGGAUUUUCCUUCCCGACUUUCCCAGUGCCGAGCUCCCGGCUCCGUUUAUUGGGAACAAAGGAACGUGCUGGGAAUUCUGCCCUCGGCAGCUCCAGGAACUCGGAGCGGGGCCAGGAACGGCUCCAGAGCUGUCGCUCCCAAGGUUUCUUGGGAUUCAUUCCCUCCCUCGAGCUGCAGGGGAGGAAUUUGGGAAGGAAAAAUUCACAAAGAUGAGACAGAGAAGGAAAAGGAAACGGGGGAAUGUCGGUGAUUCCUUAGUUCUGCCUCCCAGUGAAUUCCUGGGAUGCAAUUCCUGGUUUUAUCUUUGUUAUAUGAAAUGUUCCGGCCCCUACUGCUUAUCCAAAGGAUCAGCUUAUCCUGCUUUUCCCGAGUUUCUGAUUUGCAUUGCCAGAACUUUAUUCACACCCCGGCCGCAACAGAAAUUCCCACAGAAACCGUGGAAUUCCAGGUGGAUGGAAUUUUUAACAGCAAAAAUUGAAAUUCCACCUCUUUUAUUCUGA